GCUGGCGGCGUGCUUAACACAUGCAAGUCGAACGGAAAGGCCCUGCUUUUGUGGGGUGCUCGAGUGGCGAACGGGUGAGUAACACGUGAGUAACCUGCCCUUGACUUUGGGAUAACUUCAGGAAACUGGGGCUAAUACCGGAUAGGAGCUCCUGCUGCAUGGUGGGGGUUGGAAAGUUUCGGCGGUUGGGGAUGGACUCGCGGCUUAUCAGCUUGUUGGUGGGGUAGUGGCUUACCAAGGCUUUGACGGGUAGCCGGCCUGAGAGGGUGACCGGCCACAUUGGGACUGAGAUACGGCCCAGACUCCUACGGGAGGCAGCAGUGGGGAAUAUUGCACAAUGGGCGGAAGCCUGAUGCAGCAACGCCGCGUGCGGGAUGACGGCCUUCGGGUUGUAAACCGCUUUCGCCUGUGACGAAGCGUGAGUGACGGUAAUGGGUAAAGAAGCACCGGCUAACUACGUGCCAGCAGCCGCGGUGAUACGUAGGGUGCGAGCGUUGUCCGGAUUUAUUGGGCGUAAAGGGCUCGUAGGUGGUUGAUCGCGUCGGAAGUGUAAUCUUGGGGCUUAACCCUGAGCGUGCUUUCGAUACGGGUUGACUUGAGGAAGGUAGGGGAGAAUGGAAUUCCUGGUGGAGCGGUGGAAUGCGCAGAUAUCAGGAGGAACACCAGUGGCGAAGGCGGUUCUCUGGGCCUUUCCUGACGCUGAGGAGCGAAAGCGUGGGGAGCGAACAGGCUUAGAUACCCUGGUAGUCCACGCUGUAAACGGUGGGUACUAGGUGUGGGGUCCAUUCCACGGGUUCCGUGCCGUAGCUAACGCUUUAAGUACCCCGCCUGGGGAGUACGGCCGCAAGGCUAAAACUCAAAGGAAUUGACGGGGCCCCGCACAAGCGGCGGAGCAUGCGGAUUAAUUCGAUGCAACGCGUAGAACCUUACCUGGGUUUGACAUGGAUCGGGAGUGCUCAGAGAUGGGUGUGCCUCUUUUGGGGUCGGUUCACAGGUGGUGCAUGGCUGUCGUCAGCUCGUGUCGUGAGAUGUUGGGUUAAGUCCCGCAACGAGCGCAACCCUUGUUCACUGUUGCCAGCACGUUAUGGUGGGGACUCAGUGGAGACCGCCGGGGUCAACUCGGAGGAAGGUGGGGAUGACGUCAAGUCAUCAUGCCCCUUAUGUCCAGGGCUUCACGCAUGCUACAAUGGCUGGUACAGAGAGUGGCGAGCCUGUGAGGGUGAGCGAAUCUCGGAAAGCCGGUCUCAGUUCGGAUUGGGGUCUGCAACUCGACCUCAUGAAGUCGGAGUCGCUAGUAAUCGCAGAUCAGCAACGCUGCGGUGAAUACGUUCCCGGGGCUUGUACACACCGCCCGUCAAGUCAUGAAAGUUGGUAACACCCGAAGCCGGUGGCCUAACCGUUGAAGGGGAGCCGUCGAAGGUGGGACUGGUGAU
rnacentral:rRNA from 1 species